rnacentral:tRNA from 1 species
GAGGGUAUAGCUCAAAAUGGUAGAGCACAUGCUUAGCAUGCACAAAGUCCUGGGUUUGAUCCCUGGUACCUCCU